rnacentral:rRNA from 1 species
AGUCGAACGCGAAAGGGGGGCAACUCCUGAGUAGAGUGGCGCACGGGUGAGUAAUGCAUCGGAACGUGUCCUGUAGCGGGGGAUAACCUAGCGAAAGCUAGGCUAAUACCGCAUACGCCCUGAGGGGGAAAGUGGGGGAUCGUAAGACCUCACACUAUAGGAGCGGCCGAUGCCGGAUUAGCUAGUUGGUGGGGUAAAAGCCCACCAAGGCGACGAUCCGUAGCUGGUCUGAGAGGAUGAUCAGCCACACUGGGACUGAGACACGGCCCAGACUCCUACGGGAGGCAGCAGUGGGGAAUUUUGGACAAUGGGGGCAACCCUGAUCCAGCCAUGCCGCGUGAGUGAAGAAGGCCUUCGGGUUGUAAAGCUCUUUCGGCCGGGACGAAAUUGCACCUAUUAAUACCGGGUGUGGAUGACGGUACCGGAAGAAGAAGGACCGGCUAACUACGUGCCAGCAGCCGCGGUAAUACGUAGGGUCCGAGCGUUAAUCGGGAUUACUGGGCGUAAAGCGUGCGCAGGCGGUUUUGUAAGCCAGAUGUGAAAUCCCCGGGCUUAACCUGGGAACUGCAUUUGGGACUGCAAGGCUUGAGUACGGCAGAGGGGGGUAGAAUUCCUGGUGUAGCAGUGAAAUGCGUAGAUAUCAGGAGGAAUACCGAUGGCGAANGCAGCCCCCUGGGUCGAUACUGACGCUCAUGCACGAAAGCGUGGGGAGCAAACAGGAUUAGAUACCCUGNUAGUCCACGCCCUAAACGAUGUCAACUAGUUGUUGGGGCCCUUACCGGCCUUANNAACGCAGCUAACGCNUGAANUUGACCGCCUGGGGAGUACGGUCGCAAGAUUAAAACUCAAAGNA